AUUACUCAAGCUCCAGGUCACUUCCUGUUGCCCCGGAAGUCAGAGCGUCAUAUAAACCCGACAAUCGCGGCAAACAUUCCUUUAUAUACACCAACAGGAGAUGCCGACUAUGUGGACAGGCAAGACCAUCUCUGUGUCCAUCUCCAUCUCUACAUCAGAGGGGGUACAGAGAAAAGCGUGGAGGAAUUGAACACAGACUGUGACUUCUCUGCUGAACUUCUCUCUAGUCAGUGCAGUGCCAGACAUUGAGCUGGAUGGCCUCCGUGCCUCUGUGCCUGUUCCAGCAGGAUGUUCGGAGCUGUGGUGUACUUUUACCGAGCCUUGACUGGAUCCUGGAGUGUCGGUGUCAUUCAACGAGGUGACUUUUUUUCUGUGUGCCGAUCUGACAGCCAAAUUCUGCUUUAUGAUGAAUCAUGCAAGUUUAAGGAGCUGAUGGGAUAACAUUUCACUGGAAUCGUACCUCGUAAGAUAUCAUGUUACAAAUAAAAAUCGACAAUGGAUGUCUGCUAAUUAUCAAAUGCAAACACGCUAAACACAGUGACCGUGGUAUACCAUCUAAACAUCAUCAUUGUGGUUGUUUUCAAGUGAUGCUGCCGUUGUGUGUGUGUGUGUGUGUGUGUGUGUGUGUGUGUUGUGUGUGUAAUGUAGAUGAUUUUAUAAACAGAAUUUGAAAUGUAUUGAUAAUAAAGAUAGACAUGACUAAA